AGCCUGCGCUCUAGGCUAGUUUUGAAGACCGUUUUAUAAAAUGACAUUUAAUAGGUGCUAGUUAAGAUCUUUUAUUGUUGCUUGGCGAUGGUGGCACACGCUUUUAACCCUAGCACUCUGGAGGCAGAGGCAGGUGGAUCUCUCUAAGUUUGAGGCCAGCCUGGUCUACAGAGAAAGUUAUGGACAGCCAGGGCUACACAGAAAAACCCUGUCUCAAAAAGCAAAUGAACAAACAAACAAAGCGACAUUGGCUUUGAGGUUCCUGUGGUACAUCAUUAAGUUAGGUUAGUUCUAGUGAUGAAGACUCCACAAAUAGGAGUUUUAUCAGAAGAGUGGGCAAAAGGAAGAUGGCUGGGCGGGGACAGCCGGGCAGUGAGCGUUUGUCCCACCCCAGCAUCAAUACACUGGGGAUUUCCUUAGGCUGGGGGACCUUGGGCUGCAGGGAACUGACCAUAAUCAUAUGUGCCCUGUGACUGUCCAAGGACCUGAGUUGGAUGUGGCAACCAUCACUGGGAAAUGAGUUUACAUCAUGGCUCGUGGGUCUUUAAAAUUAGAUUCAGAGGUGGGCCUUUUCCCCUGAGAGGCUGUGCCCUCAAGCUUCUGAGUGCCAGCCGUUUCUCUGAGUGGCUUGUCAGGGCAGUCACUGUCUGGGCCACAUCCUUGGGCGGAUGUGACUGGUAAGUUUCAUCAGUGUGGAGGGAUUGAAAAGCUCUGUCCAGCCCCAGCUGGUUUCCUGUGAGCCUGCCAGAAGUCGCUGGGCAGCCUUAGGUGCUGUGCCUGCCCAGAAGUUUCUUCUCGGCUGCCACGCCCUGGUCCUGUUAGCUCAGAGGCUGUAGGCGUGUGCAGACUGUCUCUCUAUCCUCCCCUCAUGUGAGGGCUGCUCAGUAUGGCUCUUCCCAUGGCCCUCUCCCCACCUCCUGGAAGGAGUGCCACUUAGCUAGCUAGCGUCCUUCCCGGCCACCCCUCAGUUUCAAGUGAGGAGGAAAUUAUCCAUGAGCCUAAGGAUCAGAAUCACACAGAAUUCCAUAGGUUAGGUAUAAAAAUGCCACAGAUUGUCCUAAAAAAGAAAUCACCUGAGAGAAUGCGAGGCUGCCAACUUUCAAGAGGAAUGCUGUGCAAGCUGAGUCCACUCGUGGAUUGUGGCAUCGGAAACACAAUCUCUACUUGGGACAAACAAUUGGUGUGCUUUGGCUCCGGAUGAUCAAGUAUCUGUUACCUCAAAUCUAGGAACAGUGCCAGUCUGAGGCUCCUGGGUGAGCCAGAGAACCAGACACAGGCAGGCUACCUUGCUCCCUGCACCUCAGCCAGCAUCACUGUGGCUGGACGAUGUUGCUUUACUGUGCGUCUGGAGUGGGAGAGACCCUGGGUCAGCUGUACAUCCCGAAAUAUCAGGGGGCCCAGGGCUCAAGACCAGAGGAGGGAUAACGGGUGUUCAUCCUGUGAGAUGUGUCUGAGUAGCUCGCUUUACAGACAGACCUGUGGUUACGUAGAUUUGCGAGGCGGUGCAGGGAAGGAUGUCUACAUAAGGGCCUGACUGAUGAGACAUUUGCUUAGGAGCCACAGGCUCAGAACCAAAUAGAACUGAGUUGGGGUCAGCAGUGGUCUGGGGCCAGCUCAGACUGGAGGAGCCUCCCUUCCAGCUCUGCCUGGGACAUCAGAAACCAUUCACACUUCCGGAAAUGGCCAGCGCUUCAGAGCAGGCUUACUUGUUUCCUUCCUACCUUGGGUUUGCCACACAGCACUGGUUUGAGUCAACUCCCUAGACCUCAGGCCCUAUCUGCAGCUACGUGAUCUUGGGCAGAUUUCCUGUGCCAGAGUUUGGUUUCCUGCUCUGUAAAGAGGGCAUGGUUACCCACCUCCUCCACGGACUGACUCUGGGUGCUCUAUGUCACUUAUAAUGCCACGUACUAUCACCACCCUCCGUGUCCCCUGAAACUACUGCUCGAUCUGACUAUCCUGCACUUUACCCAGUGGCCCCCAGCUGCCUUUCUAACUUUACCUGUUCACAUAACCCUGCCCAUCUCGGCACCCAAGCGGAAACCGGGAGAUCCUGCUCUGAACCUGAGCUCCAGUCACAUGGCAUCUGGAGUACCCCCUCCUCCUGCUGGGCUUGGCCAGUACCAGCCUCAGACCAAGGUUCCUUCCUCCUUGUCAUAGCAGGUUCUAGGUUUUAGCUGCAAAUGCCAAAUCUUCACUUCCCUGUGCCCUAGUUAGCACAGUGCACUGGGCAGGAGCAGGAUGCAGUCAUUCUAGAGACCCAAGAGGGAUGUGUGACCUUGGAAUCACUCUGAUUAUGAGUCCCAGCAGCUUGAGAUGCAUUUCCGCUUGAGACAGGUUCUCAGUCGGCCUCCUGGAUUCACCAGCACUACAGGUCCAUUAUCCUCAUGGUGGAAAACGUGGCGGCAUGCAGGUAGACGUGGUGCUGGACUGGUAUCCAUCAGGAAAAUAGUGACACUGGGUCUGGCUUCAGAAUCUGAACCAUCAGAGCCCAGCCUCAGUGACAUACUUCCUCCAAUAAGGCCACACUUCCCAAUAGUGCCACUCCCUCCGAGCCUAUAGGGGACCAUUUUCAUGUGAACCACCAUGCACUGUGAAGUGAUUUUGAUUUCCUUUCCUUUCCUUUCCUUUCCUUUCCUUUCACUUCCUUUCCUUUCCUUUCACUUCCUUUCCUUUCCUUUCCUUUCCUUUCCUUUCUUCUCCUCUCCUGUCCUCUCCUCUCCUCUCCUCUCCUCUCCUCUCCUCCCCUCCCCUUUCCUUUCCUCCUUCCCUCCUUUCUUUCUUUUCUUCCUUCCUUUCUUCCAUCCCAAAGGCUGCAUCCCCCUUCUGGCCCCUCCCUUACAAAGUCCCUCCCUUUCCCCCCUCCUCUCGAUUUGUUUGUCAACGAUCAGGUAUUCGCUAUCUUGCGCUGCCCUCAUUGGUAGUUUGCAGAUCUCUGGAGAGCCAUCUCCUCAGUCUUUGCCCACUCUUAUACCAGGGAGUGUCACUGUUUGUCACAUCCAGGACUGUUGGCUUGUUUUUCAGAUAAGGCCUUGCUAUGUAGCCUAUGUUGGCCUUGAACUCCGGCACUUCCUCUGCCUCAGCCACAAGUGAUGUUGAUGGAAGGCACUGUGAGAAACCACUGGCUAGGAGAACGCAUUCCUCCUACGGGGGACCCUGGCCCGUUUUCCAGCUCAGCUCAGCUCCUUCCGGCAUGGGUUUUCUGCCUAGGCAAAUUUGUUUUUCUUUACAUUUAUUUAGCCCAUGUGUUGAGGGUAGGGUGGCAGUGCGUGCCUUGGCACAUGCGUGUGUAGGUCAAAAGACAGAACAGGAGUCUGUUCUCUCCUUCUACCGUGUGGGUUCUGGGGAUCAAACUCAAGCCCUCAAGUUUGGUCACAAGCUUCUUUAUUCACUGAGCCAUGUCCAUAUGCCCUGUUCUGGGCUUUUUGUACAGCCUGGGCUAAAUACAGCAGUCAGACUCUCAGCUUCCAGAAAUAACUGCUGGGAUCUGCCCUCUUGGUACCUUGAACGUGCUGGCCCAGGUUAACUCAAAGCCCAGUCUCCGGGAACCAUUGGUCAGCCCGAGGAGCAGCAUGUCACCGGAGUGUGUAAGUCCACCGUGACGAGGGGUGGAUGAGAGAGAUGCGUCUGCUUGGCUUGACAAGCUGGCCUGAUGUAAGCAUGGGUAGUCAUGACAGCAAAGGCCAUCUGGCACAAAGAACUGGACGGUUAACACCCAGAUAAAAGGCAAGUCAAGAUAAGGAGCGUAAAGAGAGAACGGUGCCAUCACUUGUGUCCCUGGAUCCAGCCAUUCCUGAAACCAGACAGCUCUGAGAUGUAAACUAAGAGGGCUGCUCUCUCUUUCUCCUUCUCUCUUCCCCGCACCUCCUCUGUUCAGGCUCUGGUUUGAAUCAGUUUCUGUCACUGGCAGCAGAGAACAUUGUGACUAAAGCAUGUCUUCCUCCUUAGUUCUCUAUCUGUCCCCCAUGUGGUUAUCUUCCUGCCCAUCCACUUUUGACCCCAACGGUUCCUACUUCUCUUUCCUCAUGUCCACUUGGAGAACAGUGGCACCCUCUAGGGACACAGUGGGCAGAGUUUCCACAUGUCCUUAUUCCCAUAGUUCCUGCUUUGGACCUGGAUCUGCACCUUGGGUGAUAGGUGAAUUUAAGAGAACAGACAUACUUUGCUAGCUGGUGUGAGCUGGUCUGGUCAGAGGGACAGCCAGGAGCUCCUUUGCUGUCCAGGCCCCCGGAGCAGCGUCAGCAUCCUCUUCCGCCCACACUCUCAGGCAGUAGAGCCGGGGCUGUGCAGGCAGGUGAAGGAAUACUUGAUUCCCAGAGGCUUCCAGAGGGGAGGAGGGGAAAGGUGAGUAAUCUGGGACAAUCGACCUGGUGUCUUGGUAAUCUGGUGUGCCUCUUUUCCUUCACAGCUGUGUUCUCCCUAGAGGGGUUUCACCCCCGCCUCAGGAAGAGGAAGCCGCCUCCAAGUGUCAUAGAGGGUCAAACAGUCCCAUGGGAGCCGCUCUUGUGGAGGAGGAAACCAAAGUACACAUCGAGGCCCCGGGUGACACAAUCAAUGAGGACUGAGAAUCAAGCGAUGACAAACUAGCUCCAGAGCCCAAAGAUCACAUGGCCACAGCACAGAGCCUCUCAGCAUUGUGGAGUGACAGAUGCAUGCUGAGGCCACCUUAAGGAGUUCGUGGGUGCCAGAGAGGCUGGGGGUGGAGCAGGGCCUCCAAAGCCAAUAGACCUGGACCACAGGUGGCUCUGGCCAACUGCUCUGGGUCUGUCAGCGUUGGCUGUUGUGUCUGUGACACAGAAACAUAAGCUCCGAGGAUACUGAGGACUGCCGAGCUCCAUCACAUUCAAGAACAGCAGUGGCUAUGACCUCUCUGGCUUUCCGGGAUGCAGAGGGGAUCUGACACAGACCGUGAACACACAUGGAUGGAGUCCGAGGAACUACUGUGUUUGGUUUCCCCUGGAGACUCCCUCUGAGUUCCAGAGGGCUGCCCGGAAACACAUCAUCUUCAGGGCCAGGUCCCUAUUUAUGAAAACCCAACCUGUCUGGCCAAA